UUCCAGACUCCUACGGGAGGCAGCAGUGAGGAAUAUUGGUCAAUGGCCGAGAGGCUGAACCAGCCAAGUCGCGUGAGGGAUGACGGCCCUACGGGUUGUAAACCUCUUUUGCCGGGGAGCAAAGAGCGGGACGCGUCCCGCCUCGAGAGUACCCGGAGAAAAAGCAUCGGCUAACUCCGUGCCAGCAGCCGCGGUAAUACGGAGGAUGCGAGCGUUAUCCGGAUUUAUUGGGUUUAAAGGGUGCGUAGGCGGUCCGUUAAGUCAGGGGUAAAAUUGCGGGGCUCAACCCCGGCGAGCCGUUGAAACUGGCAGACUUGAGUUGGCGAGAAGUACGCGGAAUGCGCGGUGUAGCGGUGAAAUGCAUAGAUAUCGCGCAGAACUCCGAUUGCGAAGGCAGCGUACCGGCGCCACACUGACGCUGAGGCACGAAAGCGUGGGGAUCGAACAGGAUUAGAUACCCGCGUACC
rnacentral:rRNA from 1 species